rnacentral:lncRNA from 1 species
AUCUCUUAAUGGUGCAGGAGAAGAUGGUGUGUGAAUUUUAAUAAGCAGAGAAGGCCACAUUGAACAGAGGCUUAGUCGUCAGCUCAAGGAUGGAGCUGGCAGACUGGUUAUCUUGCUGGGAAUAAGAAGGGCUGAGCGGAGAGCGAAGCUCAGCCUUAAAGCUAUGGGGGAAUUGUCCCUCCUUAAGCAAACUCGCUGAUCCUGCGGUGGGGUUGUCAGGCUCAGGUGAGUUUCACCACAGUAGCAGGUCCCUGCCCAGGUCCCUCCACAGUGCUUGGGAUAAUCCUAUCCAGAGCUGCCAUCUUUUGCAGACAAUGAUACAAAGCCACGCAGGAUCUGGGGACACCAGAGGUCUGGCAGGUCCUGCCACAGUGCUCCUAUCAGGAAAGAGAGAGAGGAAUGGGGAGGUGGUGCUUCCUGUCAGAAGGCUGCUACAGCUAAAGGCUUCUAAAUGGAACC